GGGUUCCAAAAUUAUUGUUAAGUGAAAAUAAGGUAGUGUUUAUCCAAGCCAACCAGGAAAUGGGCUUAGGAGCGGCCAUUUUUUAAAGACCUCGUAACAGAGCACUGGUUUUAUACAAUUUUGUAUGUAUUGUUAGAUGCACCUAAAAUUUAACGGAUCUAAAUAAUAUACCGAGACCUUGUCCAUAAAUAUUUAUAUGUAUAAGUUACAUAUAAUAUAUAUGGGGUAGCGGAACAUUGGGCAUAUCUCAGAUUUUUUCUUUUUAAGACUUAAGAUUAGAUUACCCAAGUGAUAAUGCUGACAUGAGUAACGAUAAAGGGUUUAUACCCUCGCCUAAAGCUUAUGGAAUUUACUUAAAGUAACGGCCUCUUAGUUUAAAUUUGCUUUACUUUACUGGGUUAUUUAGCUCUAAUUAAAAACGUGAUAAAGUAAAGUUACCUAAUGGUAUAAACGAUGAGAAAAAUUUUUCUAGAAAAAAUUUUUUAGAAAAAAUCUAAGUUUUACGGAAAAUAAGAAUGGAUGCUUAUGGAAACACAUUGAACGCGUAAAGUUGAAAAGUGUAUUAAAGUUUUCUUUAAAGAAAAUAAAAAUAUUUAGUAGGUUUUGACUAAACACACUAUAUAAAUAAAAACAGCGUUUGUGUUAGUAUACUAGAGCUAAGGUACUUGUUAAAAUAGUAACUGGAACUAAGGUGCUAGUGUACUAACUAAAGUGACAAAUGCUCUGGAAAAACGUAAAACCACAUGCUUAAUUAGAGUAUAGACGAGGCGGACCGUCCCUUGUCUAUUAAAAAGCAAAUACCGUACCUAAAAACUAACACAAGUAAGCA
rnacentral:rRNA from 1 species